UCAUUAAAUCAGUUAUCGUUUAUUUGAUAGUCCCUUACUACUUGGAUAACCGUGGUAAUUCUAGAGCUAAUACAUGCUAAAAACCCCGACUUCCGAAGGGGUGUAUUUAUUAGAUAAAAAACCAAUGCCCUUCGGGGCUUCUUGGUGAAUCAUAAUAACUUAACGAAUCGCAUGGCCUUGUGCCGGCGAUGGUUCAUUCAAAUUUCUGCCCUAUCAACUUUCGAUGUUAAUGUAUUGGAUUAACAUGGUUUCAACGGGUAACGGGGAAUUAGGGUUCUAUUCCGGAGAGGGAGCCUGAGAAACGGCUACCACAUCCAAGGAAGGCAGCAGGCGCGCAAAUUACCCAAUCCCGACUCGGGGAGGUAGUGACAAUAAAUACUGAUACAGGGCUCUUUUGGGUCUUGUAAUUGGAAUGAGUACAAUUUAAAUCCCUUAACGAGGAACAAUUGGAGGGCAAGUCUGGUGCCAGCAGCCGCGGUAAUUCCAGCUCCAAUAGCGUAUAUUAAAGUUGUUGCAGUUAAAAAGCUCGUAGUUGAACCUUGGGCCUGGCUGGCCGGUCCGCCUCACCGCGUGCACUGGUCCGGCCGGGCCUUUCCUCCUGGGGAGCCGCAUGCCCUUCACUGGGUGUGUCGGGGAUCCAGGACUUUUACUUUGAAAAAAUUAGAGUGUUCAAAGCAGGCAUUUGCUCGGAUACAUUAGCAUGGAAUAAUGAAAUAGGACGUGUGGUCUUAUUUUGUUGGUUUCUAAGACCGCCGUAAUGAUUAAUAGGGAUAGUCGGGGGCAUCAGUAUUCGAUUGUCAGAGGUGAAAUUCUUGGAUUUAUUGAAGACUAACUACUGCGAAAGCAUUUGCCAAGGAUGUUUUCAUUAAUCAGUGAACGAAAGUUAGGGGAUCGAAGACGAUCAGAUACCGUCGUAGUCUUAACCAUAAACUAUGCCGACUAGGGAUCGGGCGAUGUUAUCUUUUUGACUCGCUCGGCACCUUACGAGAAAUCAAAGUCUUUGG
rnacentral:rRNA from 1 species